rnacentral:rRNA from 1 species
CGAACAGACGAGGAGCUUGCUCCUCUGACGUUAGCGGCGGACGGGUGAGUAACACGUGGAUAACCUACCUAUAAGACUGGGAUAACUUCGGGAAACCGGAGCUAAUACCGGAUAAUAUAUUGAACCGCAUGGUUCAAUAGUGAAAGACGGUUUUGCUGUCACUUAUAGAUGGAUCCGCGCCGCAUUAGCUAGUUGGUAAGGUAACGGCUUACCAAGGCAACGAUGCGUAGCCGACCUGAGAGGGUGAUCGGCCACACUGGAACUGAGACACGGUCCAGACUCCUACGGGAGGCAGCAGUAGGGAAUCUUCCGCAAUGGGCGAAAGCCUGACGGAGCAACGCCGCGUGAGUGGUGAAGGUCUUCGGAUUGUAAAACUCUGUUAUUAGGGAAGAACAAAUGUGUAAGUAACUAUGCACGUCUUGACGGUACCUAAUCAGAAAGCCACGGCUAACUACGUGCCAGCAGCCGCGGUAAUACGUAGGUGGCAAGCGUUAUCCGGAAUUAUUGGGCGUAAAGCGCGCGUAGGCGGUUUUUUAAGUCUGAUGUGAAAGCCCACGGCUCAACCGUGGAGGGUCAUUGGAAACUGGAAAACUUGAGUGCAGAAGAGGAAAGUGGAAUUCCAUGUGUAGCGGUGAAAUGCGCAGAGAUAUGGAGGAACACCAGUGGCGAAGGCGACUUUCUGGUCUGUAACUGACGCUGA